ACAAUUUCAUGUACUGAAUAAGUAAGGGAUAAAGAGUUGGCUUACAAUCGCCACUUCACACAAAUAACAAGUUAAACAUACAUCAUCCAGAGUACAAUCAAGGUCCGACUACGGAACCAAAAUAAAAGAAGACAACCCCAAAUUUUAGAUCCCCGAUCGUCCCAACUGGGCACCACUACUGAUCAUCGGGAAACGAAACAUAGUAACGACCGUGGUCCUCGUCGAACUCCCACUUGAGUUCGGUAGCAUCACCUGCACUGGUAUCAUCGGCACCUGCAACUGUUUGGAAGUAUCCAUGAGUCACGAGGACUCAGCAAUCUCACACCCGCGAGAUCAAGACUAUUUAAGCUUAUGGGUAGGAUAGGGCAAUGAGGUGGAGCUGCACCAAGCGCUAAGCAAAUAUGGUGGCUAACAUACGCAAAUAAGAGCGAGAAGAGAAGCAACGCAACGGUCGAGAAGCUAGAAGAUCAAGAAGUGAUCCUAAAACUACUUACGUCCAAGCAUAACACAAGACCAUGUUCACUUCCCGGACUUUACCGAAAAGAGACCAUCACGGCUACACACGCGGUUGAUGCAUUUUAAUUAAGUCAAGUGUCAAGUUCUCUACAACUGGACAUUAACAAAUUUCCAUCUGCCACAUAACCGCGGGCACGGCUUUCGAAAGUUUAUACCCUGCAGGGGUGUCCCAACUUAGCCCAUCACAAGCUCUCACGGUCAACGAAGGAUAUUCCUUCUCCCAGGAAACCCCGAUCAGGCUCGGAAUCCCGGUUACAAGACUUUCGACAAUGGUAAAACAAGACCAGCAAGACCACCCGACUGUGCCGACAAAUCCUGAUAGGAGCUGCACAUAUCUCGUUCUCAGGGCACACCGGAUGAGCACUCCGUACAACUAAAACCAGCCCUCAAGUUUCCCUGAGGUGGCGCUGCAAAGGACUCUAGUUUGGACCAACGCUCAGAGGAGCACUGGCCCGGGGGGUUUAAAAUAAAGAUGACCCUUGAGUCCGCGGAACCCAGGGGAAAAGGCUUAGGUGAAAAAUGGUAAAACCAAGGUUGGGCCUGGCUGGAGGAGUGUUAUUCAAAGCGAACUGUCAAGGGGGUCCCAUAAAUCCCCAACCGCGUAAGGAACACAAAAUCAAGGAACAUAACACCGGUAUGACGGAAACUAGGGGGCAAGAGUGGAACAAAACACCAGGCAAAAGGCCGAGCCUUUCACCCUUUACCAAGUAUAUAGAUGCAUUAAUUAAUAAGAGAUAUUGUGAUAUCCCAACAUAAACAUGUUCCAACAUGGAGCAAUCUUCAACUUCACCUGCAACUAACAAUGCUAUAAGAGGGGCUAAGCAAAAGCGGUAACAUAGCCAAACAACGGUUUGCUAGAAAGGUGGGUUAGAGGCUUGACAUGGCAAUAUGGGAGGCGUGAUAAACAAGUGAUAGGUCGCGCAUCAUAGCGAUGGAGCGAACAACUAGCAAGCAAAGAUAGAAGUGAUAUCGAGGGUAUGGUCAUCUUGCCUGAAAUCCCGCUAGGAAGAAGAACGAGUCCAUGAAGAAGACAAACGACGUAGUCGAACGAAUCCUCACAAACGCAACAUAACUGAAACUAUCAAGGAGAAGCGCAACCGGAAAGAAACAAACAACAUAGUAAACAACCAUCACAUAAACAUGGCAUGAUGCACAACCAAGUAUGAUGCAUGUCCAGUUUAAAAGCAUGGCAAAGUGCAACAAACAAUACUACAAGUUAAGUGGAGCUCAAUGUGCAACAAGUUGCAUAUUGACGAAACACCACAUCAAUUAUUUAGUUCUCUCUCGUUAAUGUACCCAACAAUAUUAAAUGUUAUUAAACAUGGCAAGAGGUGAAACAUAACAAAACUAUACUACCUAAGCAAUUUAAAUGGGGCCGGAUAUAACAAACAACAAAUCCGGAAAAUCCUGAUGUGCAUUUUUUAGAUUUGGUACAGUUCUGCCCUAAACUAUAUUUUAGAGUUGUUAAACAUGCAAAGUAAUGUCACAACAAUAUUAAAUGUUAUUAAACAUGGCAAGAGGUGAAACAUAACAAAACUAUACUACCUAAGCAAUUUAAAUGGGGCCGGAUAUAACAAACAACAAAUCCGGAAAAUCCUGAUGUGCAUUUUUUAGAUUUGGUACAGUUCUGCCCUAAACUAUAUUUUAGAGUUGUUAAACAUGCAAAGUAAUGUCACAAUGUUAAACUAUGCAUUUUUCUACCCCAAUUACAUAUAAUGAUAAUUAAAUUCGGAGCUACAGCUAUUUAGUUAUGAAAUAAAAACAUUUUAGCAUCGCAUAUGAGCAAAUUAAUCAAACAGCAUUUUUAGCAUUUUUAACAUUUUAACAAGGAUGAAAGUUGCAUAUUGUGAAAAAAUACGCACGGGCCGGAUUGCAGCAACCUGCAGCGGCCCAGGAGGACUUGGCCCGAGUGAGCGCGGAGGGUGUGUGUGCAUAGUAAAGGGGAAACAGAGCAGAAAUUGGGGCGCCUGGGAGUCGAUCCCCAGACCCCUCGGAUGGAUAGUGGCUGCGCUAACCACUAGGCUAGCUAUGUGAUCCCUUCAAAAAAUUAGGCUAGCCAUGAGAUGGUGAUGCAAAGGGAGAUCGGCGGGAAGAUAAAGCAUAUGGUCAACGCGACCAGGACCCAAACUGAAGCGUCCGCACGGGGACUCGCCGGCGACGGGAGCCAACAGCAACAACUGCUGACCUGCUGUGGUUUCAGAGGACCGGCGGGGGUGCGGAAUCCUUCUAGGGAGGCUGCGGUGGGGCACGCGCGGGCUUGCAGCAAGGGGUGGCAUGGUGCAGGAGACUGGCGGGCUCGCGGCCAUGGCAUGGCCGCCUCGGAGAUGUGCGUGCAGGUACUGGGUGAGACAAGCGGGCACUGCGGGCAUGCGGGCAUGCAUAUGCGCGUGCGUGGAGGUGUGGCAGCGAAGGGGCAGCAUGUGCACAGAGGACACGCGUACACAAGCGGGACGAGCUCCAGGAACUCGUCCAUGGCGGACAUGGCGUCAGCUUGCUCGGGAAGAGGACUACGGCGACGGAAACGAAUCGGAGAGGGGAGUUGGGGAGGAGCGGGGCUCCACCGUGGGGGUGCUGCUGGAGUCGAACAUGGUCGCGGGUGACCGGAGACGGCGGGAGGACGCGAUGAUCGAUGGAGGCGCUCGGUUCCGUGAAGCAGAGGAAGAUGACGGAGAUGACAUCGAGGAACUUGGUGGCUCCGGCCUUGGAUCGCAGCAGGAACGGGGUCGCGGGGGUGUCUCGAAGGCCCGAGAUGAAGGAGGGGCACCGGCGGGGUGAGCUACGCCGGAGACGAGCUUCGGCUCGCCUCGGCCAUGGCGACGGGCGACGGCGUGCGGGCGCGGAGGAGGGGG
rnacentral:lncRNA from 1 species